rnacentral:rRNA from 1 species
AUCUUGGACAAUGGGCGAAAGCCUGAUCCAGCCAUGCCGCGUGGAUGAUGAAGGCCCUAGGGUUGUAAAAUCCUUUCGUUGGGGACGAUAAUGACGGUACCCACAGAAGAAGCUCCGGCUAACUUCGUGCCAGCAGCCGCGGUAAUACGAAGGGGGCUAGCGUUGUUCGGAUUUACUGGGCGUAAAGCGCGUGUAGGCGGGCUGGAAAGUUGGGGGUGAAAUCCCGAGGCUCAACCUCGGAACUGCCUCCAAAACUUCCAGCCUGGACUCAAGCAGAGGCAAGUGGAAUUGCGAGUGUAGAGGUGAAAUUCGUAGAUAUUCGCAGGAACACCAGUGGCGAAGGCGACUUGCUGGGCUUGUAGUGACGCUGAGACGCGAAAGCGUGGGGAGCAAACAGG